GACAGAGGUGGCGAGCGUUGUUCGGAUUUACUGGGCUUAAAGGGCGUGUAGGCGUUCUUAUAAGUCAGAUGUGGAAGCCUUAGGCUUAACCUAAGAAUUGCAUUUGAAACUGUCGGAAUUGAGUUAGGCAGAGGAGGGCGGAAUUCCUGGUGUAGCGGUGAAAUGCGUAGAUAUCAGGAGGAAGGCCUGUGACAAAGGUGGCCCUCUAGGUCAUAACUGACGCUGAGGCGCGAAAGCGUGGGUAG
rnacentral:rRNA from 1 species